GCAUUAAUGGGGUAGUGGUAACCUGGGUCGUUGCCAUCAAUAGAUAAGCUUGAUAUCCAUCGACCCGCCGGGGGUUCGAUUCCCUCUUAAUGCA